rnacentral:rRNA from 1 species
UACCAGCUCUCCGAGUGGUAGGGAUGUUUAUUGGGCUUAAAGCGUCCGUAGCCGGCUUAGCAAGUCUCCUGUUAAAUUCAGCGACCUAAUCGUUGAGCCGCGGGAGAUACUACUAGGCUAGGAGGCGGGAGAGGUCAACGGUACUUCCGGGGUAGGGGUGAAAUCCUAUAAUCCCGGGAGGACCACCAGUGGCGAAGGCUGUUGACUAGAACGCGCUCGACGGUGAGGGACGAAAGUUGGGGGAGCGAACCGGAUUAGAUACCCGGGUAGUCCCAGCUGUAAACGAUGCGAGCUAGGUGUUGGGGUGGCUACGUGCCACUUCAGUGCCGCAGGGAAGCCAUUAAGCUCGCCGCCUGGGGAGUACGGCCGCAAGGCUGAAACUUAAAGGAAUUGGCGGGGAGCACCACAAGGCGUGAAGCUUGCGGUUC